rnacentral:lncRNA from 1 species
CCCUCGACAAAUUGCCUGGGCAAGUGUUCAACUCUGCUUACGAUCUUGACCCCGAAGGGAAGCCUUUCCUCUUCUCAUCCCAACUACUGUGGGCUAUACCUGCGAAAUGCAGUGAUCAAAACCAAAGAAACUGGAGCAGAGUCGGAGAGCGCCCAAGGCCACAGGAGAGCCCGGCUCUGCCGCCCUCUCCCGCGCUGGUGGGCGAUCACCACCGUCAGCCAACACAGCGAUGCCACUCCCAGGCUUUCCGUUCGCUGGUAGGGCCUGUAUAAAGCAUCACUAGAGUGAGCUAUCUGAGCACGGUGUUUUCCUCCUUCUCCGGUCAUGUCCAAGGAGCCACUGCGUUGAGCAAUACCAGACAUCUGCAAAAGAAGGGAAGUGGCUGCCACAAGCAAGUAACACAAUACAGUGGCAAUUGUAAAGAGAAAAGUCUUCAUGGAUUACACAUCUAAAUCUAAUAUAGAGGACCUCUGCAGGCUGAUUUCUUUCUGCUGAAUGCACAGCAUGCUACACAUGCUACACUGAUUUUUCAGACAAAAAUAGGGCAGGAUUUCAGCAUGCUAAAGCCUCUCUUGCCUGUGCACAAAGCGAGCUGUACCAGAAAGAACAAGCAAGAU